AGGGCCAGUGAUAAUACUGGGUCAUGAAAAGAACUAGGAUUAAUCCAAUUUUGCAUACUUAAGGUCCAAU
rnacentral:snoRNA from 1 species